rnacentral:rRNA from 1 species
GGAAUCUUCCACAAUGGACGCAAGUCUGAUGGAGCAACGCCGCGUGAGUGAAGAAGGUCUUCGGAUCGUAAAACUCUGUUGUUAGAGAAGAACACGAGUGAGAGUAACUGUUCAUUCGAUGACGGUAUCUAACCAGCAAGUCACGGCUAACUACGUGCCCG